GUCUUGAUAGCUCCGUUGGCUAGAGCGUGGUGCUGAUAAGGCCAAGGUUGCAGGUUCGAUCCCCUUAUGGGACA